rnacentral:sRNA from 1 species
CAAGUGCCAACAUUACAGCGGUCAUUGUUCGAGGUCACCUGCCAAAGUCCUGGAAGUUAACUCAAUUCCAAAUGGUCGUUGGUGAAGCUUGAAGAUAUAGAAGAUGUCUACCUAUAGACCAGGAAGUGACUUUCUCACAAGUCUCCAUCUUCUUUGGCCUUGAUAAUAUGCUUCCAGCCUCCAGAAUCAUAAAACAACAACAAAAAGGAUGUCACAGGAAGUGAUUUGGAACAGAGCAGCUCUGCUAAGGAUUUGAAGCAGGGACAUGACAGUUUCCAACUCUGGGGCUUCCUUAUACUGGGUAAUCUGAAGACAGGCCAAUGGUUUGGUUCACUGAAGACUACACUACCCAGAAUCCCCUUUCUUUCUCUCCGCCCACAGUGUCCUGCCCUGUUCACUUGCAAUUUCCUACAUCUCUUCUUUCUCUCCUGCUGUGUCGAGUGGGUGCAAAUCUCUUUGAAGAAUUCACUCCCUAACAUUCUAACUCCACCUCUUCCAGGUUGGCAAGGAAGAUCAUAGUCUCCUUGGGCCCAUCAUUCUCAGAUCUUCUCAGCAGGGGUUUCUCCCUGCAGCCCAGUGUUCGAUGUGCCCCAGGGAUGAUUAAUGUUAAAUGAAUAAAGGAUGAAUGAACAAGUCAAAAUUGUGAGAGAUACUAGUUUCGGACCAGAAGCCUGAGGGUUCUUCCCGCCAUCCCAACUUUAAUUUUGGAAUAGACUUACAGACGUUUCAAUAAUAGAGCAGUUUUCUAGCAGGUCACCCAGAUCUUUCUAAUGCUCACAUAAACCAGGGAAUGUUUUGGAAAAUAGAAAACUAUGUGGCUGCAAUACUGAUACCAUAAACUCUAGGUUUUGGGGGACAGUCACCAUCUUGUCCACCAGUGUGUCAGGGUGGAUGUCAGUGCAUGAUGUCAAAUUGAAUCAGCCCUCCGUGUGUGGUGGUUUCUCAGGUUUUUUUUAUUCUUGCUUUUGAUGAAUUUGCCAUCGGUGAAGACAUUGGUUAGAGAUCCAUAGCAUGACUUUCCUUUUGGACUUCUGUUUUGUUCUCUCAUAGUUGGACCAGAGUUACAGAUUCUAGAGAGGAAUGUUCUAGAAGUGGUGGGACUUUCUUACAGCUGUGUGAUAUCAAUGCAGUUGACUGCUGGUGCUGGUGUUCCUGACCUUGGCCCCUUACAAACCUAGUAUGGGCCAAGUCUCCUAUCAAGUUACUGCUCACCUUUCUUUACUUUCCACAAUAGAACAUUGGGAUUGUAUAGGCCAAUAAACUCCAAGAGGAAGGGUAUCAGGCUCAACCCUAUAGACAUUUAUUAUUUAGAUUUCACCUGUAAUAAGAAGAAAGGCGUCCUAAACAGUUCCUGCCUUGACCCUCUGGACAUCAAGUGAUAUACAUCUACGCCUUUUCUUGGAAAGGUAU